CGGGUGAGUAAUACAUCGGAACGUGUCUUCUAGUGGGGGAUAACUGCCCGAAAGGGCAGCUAAUACCGCAUGAGACCUGAGGGUGAAAGCGGGGGAUCGCAAGACCUCGCGCUGGAAGAGCGGCCGAUGUCCGAUUAGCUAGUUGGUGAGGUAAAGGCUCACCAAGGCGACGAUCGGUAGCUGGUCUGAGAGGACGACCAGCCACACUGGGACUGAGACACGACCCAG
rnacentral:rRNA from 1 species